rnacentral:lncRNA from 1 species
GGCGACCGCGACAGCCUGGGAGUGGUACUCAUCCAGAUGUUCAAUUUUUCCCCAGAGAUCCUGAUUGUAUAUAGGCACCUGAUGGAGCAUCAGAUCCUUUCAUGCACUGAAGUUUUGAUUUUCUCAGAACAUGCCUAACAGUUACAGGUAGUUUAUAAAUAUAAUCGUUGUUUGAUAGAUCAGUUAAUGGCCUGUAACUUGAUGUUUGUACAAGCUACUGUUAUGGUUUGACUUUUUAUGGUUAGUUUAUAGAUGAAAUAGAUGUUUGAGCGAUUCAGUCAAGAACUGUAACCUGAUGUGCGUAUGAGCUCUCUCUUUGUUUUUCCUUGUUUUUUUCAUUUCCUCCUGGGGGGUUCGUUAAAUUGUCUCCAAGCAAAUCUCUUAUCUUUUUUUUUUUUUGCUGCAAUCCUUGAGUCAAUGACUGAUAUACAUGCUUAUAAUUUUCAAGGCUCAAAAGAGUUAGGAUGCAUAAAUACAUAAGAUUGCAAUGAAUUAGAGACUGGUAGAAUUGAUAAGAACAAGGAUAGUAGCUA